AGCGAACGCUGGCGGAAUGCUUUACACAUGCAAGUCGAACGGCAGCACGGGGCAACCUGGUGGCGAGUGGCGAACGGGUGAGUAAUACAUCGGAACGUGCCCAAUCGUGGGGGAUAACGUAGCGAAAGUUACGCUAAUACCGCAUACGAUCUACGGAUGAAAGCGGGGGAUCGCAAGACCUCGCGCGAAUGGAGCGGCCGAUGUCAGAUUAGGUAGUUGGUGGGGUAAAGGCUCACCAAGCCGACGAUCUGUAGCUGGUCUGAGAGGACGACCAGCCACACUGGGACUGAGACACGGCCCAGACUCCUACGGGAGGCAGCAGUGGGGAAUUUUGGACAAUGGGCGCAAGCCUGAUCCAGCCAUUCCGCGUGCAGGAUGAAGGCCUUCGGGUUGUAAACUGCUUUUGUACGGAACGAAACGGUUCUCUCUAAUACAGGGGGCUAAUGACGGUACCGUAAGAAUAAGCACCGGCUAACUACGUGCCAGCAGCCGCGGUAA
rnacentral:rRNA from 1 species